GUACGGCUCUUGCAAAUGGAGCCAAGAGCUGUUACACAGCUAAAAACAUUUGUCGGCAGCUGGGGUAAGCAUGUGCAUAUAUUAUUUAGCUUUCAAAUCCUCUAAAACAGCAACUAGGGUAAACAUGUGCACUACGUACGUAACUUUUUCUUUUUUUUUACAUUACACAACACAAGCUCGACGCGCGGGGCGGGUCGCAGAGUCGCAGGGGGCUGCCGGUUGCCGGUU
rnacentral:lncRNA from 1 species